AAAAAGAAUUGCAAGAACUGCUAAUUCAUGCACUCCAUACUUAACAAUGUGGCUUUUUCAAGCUUUUAAAGGAUAGUAGUUAUCCAUU
rnacentral:tRNA from 1 species